rnacentral:rRNA from 1 species
GUUAGGAAUAUUGGACAAUGGGCGAAAGCCUGAUCCAGCCAUGCCGCGUGAACGAUGAAGGCCUUCGGGUUGUAAAGUUCUUUAGCCGAUGAUUAUAAUGACUGUAGUCGGAAAAUAAGCCCCGGCUAACUUCGUGCCAGCAGCCGCGGUAAUACGAAGGGGGCGAGCGUUAUUCGGAAUCACUGGGCGUAAAGCGUGUGUAGGCGGUUUUGUAAGUUAGGAGUGAAAGCCCAGGGCUCAACCUUGGAAUUGCUCUUAAAACUGCAAGGCUCGAAUGUCGGAGAGGAUAGCGGAAUUUCCAGUGUAGCAGUGAAAUGCGUAGAUAUUGGAAGGAACACCAGUGGCGUAAGCGGCUAUCUGGACGAGUAUUGACGCUGAGGCACGAAAGCGUGGGGAUCAAACAGGAUUAGAUACCCUUGUAGUCC